UACGGGGGGAGCAAGCGUUGUUCGGAUUUACUGGGCGUAAAGGGCGCGUAGGCGGUCAGCACAAGUCAGUUGUGAAAUCUCCGGGCUUAACUCGGAACGGUCAACUGAUACUGCGCGGCUAGAGUGCAGAAGGGGCAACUGGAAUUCUCGGUGUAGCGGUGAAAUGCGUAGAUAUCGAGAGGAACACCUGCGGCGAAGGCGGGUUGCUGGGCUGACACUGACGCUGAUGCGCGAAAGCGUGGGGAUCAAACAGG
rnacentral:rRNA from 1 species